rnacentral:rRNA from 1 species
UACAGAGAUGGCAACCGUUGUUCGGAAUUACUGGGCUUAAAGCGCACGUAGGCGGGGAUUUAAGUUGGCUGUGAAAGUCCAGGGCUCACCCCUGGAAUGUCAGCCAAAACUGAGUCUCUUGAGGACGGUAGGGGAGAGUGGAAUUCCUGGUGGAGCGGUGAAAUGCGUUGAUAUCAGGAGGAACGCCGGAGGCGUAGGCGACUCUCUGGGCCGUGUCUGACGCUGAGGUGCGAAAGCCAGGGGAGCGAACGGG